UACGAAGGGGGCUAGCGUUGCUCGGAAUCACUGGGCGUAAAGCGCACGUAGGCGGAUCUUUAAGUCAGGGGUGAAAUCCUGGAGCUCAACUCCAGAACUGCCUUUGAUACUGGGGAUCUCGAGUCCGGAAGAGGUGAGUGGAACUCCGAGUGUAGAGGUGAAAUUCGUAGAUAUUAGGAAGAACACCGGUGGCGAAGGCGGCCCACUGGUCCGGUACUGACGCUGAGGUGCGAAAGCGUGGGGAGCAAACAGG
rnacentral:rRNA from 1 species